rnacentral:rRNA from 1 species
UACGUAGGGGGCAAGCGUUGUCCGGAAUCAUUGGGCGUAAAGAGCGUGUAGGCGGCCAGGUAGGUCUGCUGUGAAAACUCGAGGCUCAACCUCGAGACGUCGGCGGAAACCAUCUGGCUAGAGUCCGGAAGAGGAGUGUGGAAUUCCUGGUGUAGCGGUGAAAUGCGCAGAUAUCAGGAGGAACACCAAUGGCGAAGGCAGCACUCUGGGACGUGACUGACGCUGAGACGCGAAAGCGUGGGGAGCAAACAGG